rnacentral:sRNA from 1 species
UGAUAGUAGCGAUUGGUUUUGCCUUGAA